UUACAUUUUGAAUUGAACCUCAAGUAAUAUUCAUUACUUAUUGAUCACUCAUUAGUUUGGACAACGACCAGGAUCCACUCUAAUAACGGCUCGUGCUAAAUUAAAAUUAACAGAAAAAAAUUUAUAAAUAAAUAAUUUAGAUAAUCAACCAUGCAACUAUUGGAAAAAGUCAGGGUGCCACCAUCGUCGAAAGUGGCACAAACCCUAUCUUUCACUUUGGGACAUCGUAUGUCACAUUCAGAGCUUACCGAAGAGCACAAAAAUGCCCAUAUGGCAAUGCUGAGUAAGAAGAAACGCAUUACGAAGUGAAGUUUAUGUUCAACGAAAUAACCGAAGAAGACUGCAUAGGAAGUCAACGUUUUUUAAGGUUUUAUAAGACACAAUAGUACAAACCGUUGAGAAUAUACAGCUGAAUUCACAGAUCUAACAGUCAAAUGGUUUCUUAUUUUCCAUUUGUUUUUAUUUUAUUUUAUAAAUCGAAUAUUUUACUCAAAUAUUUAAUGUUUUAACAAAAUAAAUAUCGAAAAUUUGUUAAUUUAA